rnacentral:rRNA from 1 species
AGAUUGAACGCUGGCGGCAUGCCUUACACAUGCAAGUCGAACGGCAGCACGGGAGCAAUCCUGGUGGCGAGUGGCGAACGGGUGAGUAAUAUAUCGGAACGUGCCCAGUAAUGGGGGAUAGCCCGGCGAAAGCCGGAUUAAUACCGCAUACGACCUACGGGUGAAAGCGGGGGAUCGCAAGACCUCGCGUUAUUGGAGCGGCCGAUAUCAGAUUAGCUUGUUGUGGGGUAAAAGCUUACCAAGGCUACGAUCUGUAGCUGGUCUGAGAGGACGACCAGCCACACUGGGACUGAGACACGGCCCAGACUCCUACGGGAGCAGCAGUGGGAAUUUGGACAAUGGGCGCAAGCCUGAUCCAAGCCAUCGCCGCGUGCGGGAAGAAGGCC